UACGUAGGGAGCAAGCGUUGUCCGGAAUCAUUGGGCGUAAAGCGCGCGUAGGCGGCCCCGUAAGUCCGCUGUGAAAGUCAAAGGCUCAACCUUUGAAAGCCGGUGGAUACUGUGGGGCUAGAGUCCGGAAGAGGCGAGUGGAAUUCCUGGUGUAGCGGUGGAAUGUGCAGAUAUCAGGAGGAACACCAAUAGCGAAGGCAGCUCGCUGGGACGGUACUGACGCUAAGGCGCGAAAGCGUGGGGAGCGAACAGG
rnacentral:rRNA from 1 species